rnacentral:rRNA from 1 species
UGAUCCAGCAUGCCGCGUGUGUGAAGAAGGCCUUCGGGUUGUAAAGCACUUUUGUCCGGAAAGAAAUCCUUGGUUCUAAUACAGCCGGGGGAUGACGGUACCGGAAGAAUAAGCACCGGCUAACUACGUGCCAGCAGCCGCGGUAAUACGUAGGGUGCGAGCGUUAAUCGGAAUUACUGGGCGUAAAGCGUGCGCAGGCGGUUUGCUAAGACCGAUGUGAAAUCCCCGGGCUCAACCUGGGAACUGCAUUGGUGACUGGCAGGCUAGAGUAUGGCAGAGGGGGGUAGAAUUCCACGUGUAGCAGUGAAAUGCGUAGAGAUGUGGAGGAAUACCGAUGGCGAAGGCAGCCCCCUGGGCCAAUACUGACGCUCAUGCACGA